UACAGAGGUCUCAAGCGUUGUUCGGAUUCAUUGGGCGUAAAGGGUGCGUAGGUGGCGUCGUAAGUCAGGUGUGAAAUCUCGGAGCUUAACUCCGAAACUGCAUUUGAUACUGCGGUGCUUGAGGACUGGAGAGGAGACUGGAAUUUACGGUGUAGCAGUGAAAUGCGUAGAUAUCGUAAGGAAGACCAGUGGCGAAGGCGGGUCUCUGGACAGUUCCUGACGCUGAGGCACGAAGGUCAGGGGAGCAAACGGG
rnacentral:rRNA from 1 species